GCGGCUAGAACAGGAGCAGCCUAGGAGGAGCCGGUUUCGGGUUCUCAAUGAAUGGACGGUGGUUUGAGGCUAUUUUCAGAAUUUCUAAGAUGCUCUCACACAACACAAAGGCUUGAGAGUAACAAAGACUACUCAGAGCUGCGAGGUGCCGUGCGAGGGUUGCUGCAAGAAUUCAGCCAGGACAAGCGUGGGGUGCUGUCUGAAAUCCUGGCCCGGAGAACCCGCCCGGCGUAGUGCCAAGUGUGCCACUUACUGCUCUGCCCCCCAUACUCUCAGCAUCUUCGCACGUCUGCGCUCGUCUGUCCAGCUGUGGCUGUGACCAUGCUGGCUCAGGUUCCUGACUUAGCCACACCUGGUCCUUCCUUUGAAGCUUACAGUUGAGAGGUGGAGACAGACCACAUCUAAGCAAGAGAACACAGUGAACUACAAGCUGUGAGGACUGCAGAGGAGGACGCAGCACACCGCCACAGAGGGUCGCACUCUCUGGCUCCAGCUUUCAGAGAAACCUUCCAUUCUUGUUUGGACAGUAAAAUGUCCUGGAACUCCAAAGAGGGAUCUGGAGGGACACUUCCAGGCCUGAGCCCCUGGGGGCAUUGAAGCUGUCCUGCCUGCCUCAGGGCACAGUGGACCAGACGGGCUCCCUGGACAGCUCUCCAAGAGCCAGGCCCAGAAGAGAGGUCCAGUGGGAAGUUACUGAGCCGGCUUCCUCUCUCCACCUGGGAAGAGCUGAUCUCUUCUCUGCACAAAUCUAAAGCAGGGCCCGUGACCCGGAACCCGCAUGGCUGUCUCUUUUAAAGCUGAGACCAGGAGGUCCAGUCACCGUGCUCUGCUUGCCCUCCUGCCUGGAGGGCUGCUUCUUGCCCUUGGUUGAAGAACUUCUGGUUGGCAGCAGCUGCUGGGGGCUGAGUGGACCACACGCCUCCCUUUCUCCAGCCUGCUGUUUUGGGCAAGGCUGGGCAGCAGGGCCUGGGCACUCACCCUGCCUGCCCCACAUAAGCAGGCCCUCCACUGGCCCAUGGACAGAUCCUCCCAUCGCUCCCCUGCGAGGCCUGCAGGCUGAACCACCCAGCCAACCCUUCCUGUAACCUGCCCUGGCCAGGGAGCAGCUUCAGAAGCUCAAAACAAGAAAUGCCCGGCACGACCACUUACCAGAAAUCUCCGGGGUCCAUCUGUCUUCAGAUGAAAGGAACACCCACUGAACUUGGAUGGAUGGAUGACAUCCUCUGUCAGCCUCGAAGGCCGGCUCCUUAAUGAUGUGGCCGACACACCCACCAACUGCAACGCCCACUUCUUCCUGUUGGUGUCUACAGAGCGUCCACCUUGGUCAUCUUCUCCAUUUGCUCCUGUCUACAACGGCUGCCCCUCCCCCAGUCCUCUUUCUAGAAUGCAGAGCUGGUCAUGUUUUCCUGUUCCUUGAAAGCCACCACUGGCUCCCCAUCGCUGUAGUAGAAGUUCUAAAUUCCAUCUUCCACCAUUUCCCAGGUGUCUCUGCAGGAGACAGAGGUCUCUCUGCACUUGCCAAUCUUUGGUCCCACGAGAGCUCACUUCCGACACGCUGCCCCCAGGCCCCAGGCAAAGCCAGCCUGCUUGCCUCUUCCUUACUGCACAGUUUUGUGGUUCUGCUUCUUCCUCCUGCUGGGCCCUUGCUUUCCAUCAACCCCAUCAACCCCACCAAGCCCACUCGUUCUUCACGGCCCACCUCAGGUGCCUCUUCCUUCCCUGAACCUUCUAUUGGAGUGAAUCUCUGUCCCACAGUGGCAAGUGCUGGGUUGAUUGGAUGUGUGUCUAUCUUCCCCUGUAUCAAAAGCUCUUUGGAAUCAGAGACAGAUUUAGUAACCAUCCUGUCAGCCCCCGGCCCCCUUCCUUGUAUCCGCGUGCAUGGCACAGACAAGGGACUAAAUAAAGUUGGAAUUAAAGGGUUUGCUGUAAACUCUUUAAGAAGCCACUAAGGCUGAGAGAGGGGGAUGGGGGCUCAACGACAGAAACCCAGGUGGACAGGGUUGAAGCGGAGCCAUCAGCCUGGAGACCCAUCAAGAAAGACGCUGGGGUUCCCUAGAGAGGAUCCCCGUAAGGCAGGAGGCCCAAGCCAGAGGAGGCCAGAUGCUUUUCCUAUUUGUCAGGCCGCCUCUCCCCUCCUCAGCCUCGUCCUGUGUGCCCCAGGGCUGUUCUCCAGGGGAAAUUUAUGUCUGUAAUAGUGGAAUAAUUAGCUCCCCAUCCUGGCAUGCAUUAACCUUGAAUUGAUGGUGUCAGCUAAUGAGAGAGAGAGAGCAGGGGUGCUCAGGAAUCACGGCACCUCGGACUGCGCUCCUUUCUCCAGGGCCCGGCUGGAGGGAGAGAUCUGUGCACAUUUCUCCACUCCCAGGUAAGAGGCAUCAUUACGGGUUUUCCCAUGUUCCUUGUCUGACAUCAGUCAUCUUUAUUUUAGUCAAAUCUCUCUUCAAAUAAAUUAAACAACCUAUUUCUUCCCACAACGAUACCUUUACUUGUGGACUUCUGGUUGCCCUGGCAACAGGGAUACUCCAAUCAUAACCCAGACAAGCUCUUUGGCUUAUGUGAGUCUCUGUUUCCUUGUCUGUAAAAGGGAGAUCAUUGCAGUAUCUAGCUCACAGGGCUAUUGUACAGGUCAAGUAGCCUAAUAUAGGUAGAGUCUCAUUCCAAAAUGUGAGACGUUAGGAUUACCUUUAAUCCAGGUGAGCACUUUGAUACUGGGCUCCCUUCUGGGUCUCGGUUUCCCUUUCACUAAAAUGGGGGCGGAACUCGGCCAUCAGUAACUCUUGGGGGGAUGGCAACAUGGAUGGUCCUUAGUUCUACCCACUCUGUGACCAUAGUUUCCUAUCACCUAAAAUCUCACUUCAUUCAUUCCCUCCAUAAAAAAGGUUUCUCCAAUAAUAGUCACAAUGAUGUAAAAUGACCAGAGAAGUGACUUCUCUCAUGUCUGCAGGUAAAGCUCCUUGCUACUGGUGGGAGAAGUCAUUGUCCCAUCACCAGCAGGGUGAUUUUUGUCAUGGCAACCAAGGUUUCAGCUCGAAUGAUGGUCCUUUGAUGGU